rnacentral:rRNA from 1 species
UACGUAGGGUGCGAGCGUUAAUCGGAAUUACUGGGCGUAAAGCGAGCGCAGAUGGUUAUUUAAGCAGGAUGUGAAAUCCCCGGGCUCAACCUGGGAACUGCGUUCUGAACUGGAUAGCUAGAGUGUGUCAGAGGGGGGUAGAAUUCCACGUGUAGCAGUGAAAUGCGUAGAGAUGUGGAGGAAUACCGAUGGCGAAGGCAGCCCCCUGGGAUAACACUGACGUUCAUGCUCGAAAGCGUGGGUAGCAAACAGG